rnacentral:SRP_RNA from 1 species
CGGCGGGGGAAGCCUCGGGGGGCUAGCCCUCCCCUGUCACCGCAAACGGGCUACAUGGCGGGAGGCGCUAACCCGCGGGGGCGUUCGGGCGGGCUGCCGCCCUCGCGGGAGCGUCCCCGUGACACCGGUCCCGCGGGACGCUCUGUCCCACCGGGUCUCCCGUAGGGGAGACCCAGGGGGGUACGGCCGAACCGGGUUAGGCCCGGGAGGGAGCAGCCCUAAGGCCGGCAGGGCGUGUUCGCGGUAAGCCGGGUUGAGGGCUACACUCCCGCGGGGGAGCAGUCACCCCCGGGCCACCCUGCGGGGAGGCCGCCG